UACGAAGGGGGCUAGCGUUGCUCGGAAUUACUGGGCGUAAAGGGCGCGUAGGCGGAUAUUUAAGUCGGGGGUGAAAGCCCAGGGCUCAACCCUGGAAUUGCCUUCGAUACUGGAUAUCUUGAGUUCGGGAGAGGUGAGUGGAACUGCGAGUGUAGAGGUGAAAUUCGUAGAUAUUCGCAAGAACACCAGUGGCGAAGGCGGCUCACUGGCCCGAUACUGACGCUGAGGCACGAAAGCGUGGGGAGCAAACAGG
rnacentral:rRNA from 1 species